CGGGGUGUAGCGCAGUUGGUAGCGCGCCUGCUUUGGGAGCAGGAUGCCGCAGGUUCAAAUCCUGUCACUCCGA
rnacentral:tRNA from 1 species